UAGGCUAUUUUAACUCUUUUGGCUGCUUGGCCGCCAGGCUCGGGCCUGGAGUUUCCGGGCUAGGUGUGGGGUGGAGGGAAAGUAAGAUGCGUCCCCAGAACCCGCGAAGAAAAUCCUGUGUCCCUACACAAGCCCGGGAAAGGACCGAGUCGGGAGCGAAAGACUUCCAUGUGUUCAGCAUUCCUGAAAACAUCUUAUGAGGAUAACUUACUCGUGUAUAUCUGCUUCCUCUGUAAGAAAGAGAAAUCCAUAGGACAGAGUGUGCUGGAAGUGCCUGACCAUGCAUGUAUGGGUGCAGGAGCCAAGUAGUCAUGGAGGAUAAGGGUGAUUGUAACGAAGGGGCAUUGCAGCACUCCAGACAUGGAAGACUUGGCAAUGGGAGACAAUUUCCAGCACGCUUGGGACAAAGUGAAAGAUCCAUUCUGCAGCUUAUGUUUGGUUAUGGGCGUAUGUUUGGUUCUUUGGAGGUGAAAGGACAAAAACAAAAGAAGUCAGCCACAGACUCUAAAAAAGCAUACGAAGAUGCCUUGCUCUGAAGCAUUUACCAAGAUCCUUCUAAGGAAAUGACCAAUGGACCAGGGCCUCCACCCCUGCCUCUGUCCCUGGAGAAGCCUCCUAUUCAGUAUUUCAAGAUACAGGUGAGGUCACUUUUUCCCUAAAUAAA